rnacentral:rRNA from 1 species
CAGUCGCCACGGUAAUACAGAGGGUGCGAGCGUUAAUCGGAUUUACUGGGCGUAAAGCGUGCGUAGGCGGCUUUUUAAGUCGGAUGUGAAAUCCCUGAGCUUAACUUAGGAAUUGCAUUCGAUACUGUGAAGCUAGAGUAUGGGAGAGGAUGGUAGAAUUCCAGGUGUAGCGGUGAAAUGCGUAGAGAUCUGGAGGAAUACCGAUGGCGAAGGCAGCCAUCUGGCCUAAUACUGACGCUGAGGUACGAAAGCAUGGGGAGCAAACAGGAUUAGAUACCCGUGUAGUCCCUGUCUCUUAUAC